AAUGGGAAUUGGCCGAUUUGAUUCCAAUAUUCAAGGAGCAUGGAAUAACACCUGAUAAUAUAACAAAACUAACAGAAAGCCUAAUUAAGGAAUUGAUCCCUAAUAUCGGAAAAAGGAUGAAAUUCACUGAGAAGUGGAUUAAGAUAGUAGAGUCGUCGGUAUGUACUCAAGUAUGUUUUCUUUUCAUUCAUUAUUUUUGUGAUGUGAUAUUUUUUUAAUUUUUGUUAUACGUUUUUUUUAUGAUAAUAUAUUAUAUAUUUUUGACGAAUGUUAUAUGUUUAUGUUGAGAAAAUAAAAUGUGUUCAAUUUUUUCCUUUGUAAAUUCUGUUAUCACCCAAAAUUCCAUUUUCAGGUA